rnacentral:rRNA from 1 species
UACGGAGGGGGCUAGCGUUGUCCGGAAUCAUUGGGCGUAAAGCGCGUGUAGGCGGCCCGGUAAGUCCGCUGUGAAAGUCGGGGGCUCAACCCUCGAAUGCCGGUGGAUACUGUCGGGCUAGAGUGCGGAAGAGGCGAGUGGAAUUCCUGGUGUAGCGGUGAAAUGCGCAGAUAUCAGGAGGAACACCAAUUGCGAAGGCAGCUCGCUGGGACGUGACUGACGCUGAGACGCGAAAGCGUGGGGAGCAAACAGG